CACGCAGGCGGUUUUUAAGUCAGAUGUGAAAGGUACCGGCUCAACCGGUGACAUGCAUUUGAAACUGUAAGACUUGAGUAUUGGAGAGGCAAGUGGAAUUCCUAGUGUAGCGGUGAAAUGCGUAGAGAUUAGGAGGAACACCAGUGGCGAAGGCGGCUUGCUGGACAAAUACUGACGCUGAGGUGCGAAAGCGUGGGGAGCAAACA
rnacentral:rRNA from 2 species